rnacentral:misc_RNA from 1 species
UGCUUGGCAAAUUCUUUCUGAUCACCAUCAGCCCUGAAUUUCCCCACCUUCACUCCACUCCCUGCCAACUUAUCAGCCAAUUCAAGAUAGGAAUUUUCCAUGCCCUGGCAGAAUUGGCACCAUGGGGCAUAAAGAACAACAAUCCAUGGUUCCUUUCUGUUCUCCAAUCUUAACAAAUUGGUUAUUCCAGAACUGCUCAAAUUGACCAAAGUCUGAGAGUUGAAGAUAUCAGCAACUCCAGCAGCUCCAUUUGAAUAGGUAGCCCCAUUUCCAUUGCCAUUGAGUUGUGCUAGAUCAUCAUGCUUCAGAUUUCCUUUGUGAAGCCCACAUUCCUUAGCCUUAGCAUCCUCCCACCACCAUCUUCCUUCUCUCUCAUGUUGGCCUGGAAGAACUGGUCUUGUGCAAGGCUCGCAUCCAAUUGACACAUAACCUUGUGAAUGAAGUGAGUUUACAGGCACAUUCAUGGCUCGAAGGAAGUUCCAUGCAUUUUGUCCCUCAACAUUUGCCAUUGGGUUCCACUUGAUCAGACUACCAACUCCACUAUCCAUUCCCUCAAAAACUGGGUCCACCU